AAAAAGAAAGAAAAGAGAAGAAAAGCAGAGUAAUGGAAGGAGGAGGACUGGCCUGGGGAGUGGAGACACCUGGCUUCUCUCUCCAACUCCACCUGUAGGUUGUUCACAGCCCCUCGGUGUCGCUAAGCAGCCUCACUCUGUAAGAGGCAAACAACCCCAUCUCACCUCCUCCAGCUGCCACAAGACCAAGUGAGAGGCAUGAUGAGACCUGUUCUUCCAAGGACCAGGGGGCAGAAUCAAGAUGGGUGGAAGUUACAAGGAGGCAGAUUUCAGAUCAAAAUCAGGAAGACAUUUCCAUUUACCAAAGUCCUUUCUACAGAUUCCUAAUCACCCAGAAAGCCUUCUCCUCUGGGAACCAGUCGAGCAGCAGACUGGUCAUCUGGCAGUGAUCCUGCACGAGAGGGACUGAACCCUGAGCCAUAAGGCCCCUUUGAAAUGGGACAGUCUGCAUGUUGGUUUAUGUGGAAGGGCUUUGGGAAGAAUCAAUGUGAGGCUAAUCGCUCAGGGGCUCGGACUUCUGGCUACCUUGGUCACUGCAGCAGGAGGAGAAAAAGCUGGAGGGGGGGUCAAGCACCCGCCCAGAAGUGAAUCCCGGCACUUCUGGCAUCUCACCGAACAGAAUUAGUCACGUGGCCCUGCCUAACCUCAAGGAGGUGCAUGCAGGAAGCAUAUGCAGAAAGGAGAGAAAAAUGGAUAGAGUCUGACAUUAUGAGACAACCAAAGCUGAUGGAAAAACCUAACUCUGUCUGGAGCAUUGUCAAUCUCAUGCCAGAAAGAAAAAGACAAGGCCAAUGGCGCCCUGACUUCCAGAACUCUGUACAAAAGUGACCAACAUCACUUCUUUGACUAAAGCAAGUCGUAUGGCCAUUCCAGAGGUCAUCAGCAUGGGGAUAACCUUACAGAGAGGAGCAUGACAAAGGAAGAAACUGGAACUUUUGGUGAGUGAGAACCUGUCUCCACCACCUCUUCUUAGGAUGACUUCUUUCCCAGAGGCAUCAAAUUUUACAAUGCAGCCUGUGUGUAGGAGUGCAGAUGUUGGGGAGCAUUUACUCUACUAAUCUACUAAUCACCAGCAUCUGUGCAUCAACACAGGCAUUCUCUGCUCAUCGUACUCACUGUCACACAGGUAAAAACUUUUUUAUGUGACAAACUAUUCUGAGAGCAAGACAACUGCUAAUGAUGCGUGGCAAGGGAUCUAAGUGAAAUACCAUUGCAAAUAACGAGUCCUGUCGUAAUAAGAUUACGGAAGUUGCUAAGGGGUCAUUUUCAGAAUGCAUUUUACUUAGGACCUUUAUUGAUAUGAUGCUGUUGAAGAAUUCAAGGAUUUAAUAGCUCUGGGCUGAGUCCCUGGAAACAUUCAGGUUCUACUGUGUUGGGAGCUUCCUGGGUCCCGGAGAUUCUCCUGCAGCUGUUACCACCUCAGGGCUGGUCGGGGUUGAGACUUCUCCAGGUGUUUCCAUCCCACAUGCUUUGUGAUGGGGAAGGCUGCCCUCUCUUGCCUUCAUCGCUUUCUGUCCCCAUCAGUCUCUCCUCAUCCCAGGGCAGUCUGAGUGCCCCUUCUCCACGCCUCUAAAAUGCCUCCCACAAAUCUAGUCUAAGAAGUCUGAAGAUGCGGAGUCAGGGUAGAGGAGCACAGGAGUGUUCAGAUGAUGGCUGACAUUAUGGCCGCUGCCUUUGAGCCCACUGUGUCCAGGGGGAUGGACUUAAAACACGUAACUAGCAGACGAGUUGACAGUUGCUCAAAGAGAGGGAUGAACAGAGUAGAGUAGGAAAAGGGAGUGAUCCAAAAGUGUGUUUCCUCUCCUCUUCUCCUCUCCUCCCUCU